rnacentral:misc_RNA from 1 species
CUGAUGAGUGAUCAAACUCGUACACAUACAGGCAUUAGAGGGACCAGAGGAUAUGUUGCACCAGAAUGGUUCAGGAACAUGCCAAUUACAGCAAAAGUAGAUGUUUAUAGUUAUGGAGUGAUGUUAUUAGAGAUCAUUUGUUGCAGAAGGGGCCUUGAAAUGGAAAACGAGAAUGAAGAGGAGAUCAUACUAGCUGACUGGGCAUAUGACUGCUACAAAGAAAAAAUAUUAGAUAAACUAGUGGAGGAUGAUGAGGAGGCAAGAAAUGACAUAAAAAGGGUAGA